rnacentral:rRNA from 1 species
GACGAACGCUGGCGGCGUGCCUAAUACAUGCAAGUAGGACGCACAGUCUAUACCGUAGCCUGCUACACCAUAGGCUGUGAGUUGCGAACGGGUGAGUAACGCGUAGGUAACCUGCCUAUUAGAGGGGGAUAACUAUUGGAAACGAUAGCUAAUACCGCAUAACAGUAUGUAACACAUGUUAGAUGCUUGAAAGAUGCAAUUGCAUCGCUAGUAGAUGGACCUGCGUUGUAUUAGCUAGUAGGUAGGGUAAUGGCCUACCUAGGCGACGAUACAUAGCCGACCUGAGAGGGUGAUCGGCCACACUGGGACUGAGACACGGCCCAGACUCCUACGGGAGGCAGCAGUAGGGAAUCUUCGGCAAUGGGGGGAACCCUGACCGAGCAACGCCGCGUGAGUGAAGAAGGUUUUCGGAUCGUAAAGCUCUGUUGUUAAGGAAGAACGAGUGUGAGAAUGGAAAGUUCAUACUGUGACGGUACUUAACCAGAAAGGGACGGCUAACUACGUG